GCGGCGGCUGCGCCUGGUCCAGGUCCGGGUGGGGUUUUCCGGCUGCUUGUCGGUGCUGUCGCUGUUCAGUCCUGCUUAUUUCCAGAGUCGAGUCAAGGAUUCGUAUUAAAUGAAGGUCUUUUGGAUUUAAACGUUGGGAAGCUGUAUCCAGACAAUGAAGAGUUUACUCGUCUUUGAUUUUGACCACACAAUUGUAGAUGGGAACAGUGAUACUUGGGUUGUGAGAUGUACUCCUGAAAAGAAACUUCCAGAUUGGCUUCGUAAAAAAUACAAUGGAAAACACUGGAAUGAAUACAUGAGAGAAGUCCUUGGUUACAUUGGAGACCAAGGAAUCAAAGAACCUGAAAUAAAACAGGUUAUGGAAUCCAUACCAUAUUGUCCAGGAAUGAUUGACCUCCUGAAGUUCAUCUGCCAAAACAAGGAUCGAGUUGACUGUAUAAUUAUUUCUGAUUCUAACACAGUUUUCAUCAGUUGGAUCUUAGAAUUUACAAAUACAAGCUUAGCUUUUGAUAGCAUUCUUACAAAUCCAGCAACUUUUGAUGAACAAGGUUAUCUUAGAAUUGAGAAUUUUCAUUCUCAUAAUUGUCCACAAUGUCCUGAUAAUCUUUGUAAGAGAAAAGCAUUAGUUAACUUUGUUGCUGAUCAACUUAAAGUGGGAGUACAGUAUAAGAAAAUCAUUUACACUGGUGAUGGAGGAAAUGACUUGUGCCCAAUUGAAAGUCUGGAGGAGAAUGAUGUUGCUAUGGUCAGAAAGGGAUACAAGUUGGAAAAGCUGAUUGGUGAAAUGGUUGAAAGACACUCUUGUUCUGUAAAACCAUUGAUAAUGAUAUGGUCUUCAGGUGAAGAAAUCCUGUCUUACUUGAAAAAAUGUUUAAUGACUUAACAUGGUACGGUACCAGCACGGUAGCAUAGCAGUUAGCAUAACGCUAUUACAGCGGCAGCGAUCAGGGUUCAAUUCCCAUCGCUGUCUGUAAGGAGUUUGUACGUUCUCCCCGUGCCUGCGUGGGUUUCCUCCGGGUGCUCCGGUUUCCUCCCACGUUCCAAAGACGUACGGGUAGGUUAACGUGGGUUUAAAUGGGCAGCGUGAACUUGUUGGGUCGGAAGGGCCUGUUACCAUGCUUCCGAAGUAUCCUACUAGAGAAGCAAGGACUGCAGAUGCUAGAAUCUGGAUGAAAAACACUGUGAUGCUGGAGGAACUCAGCAGGCCAGGCAGCAUCCAUGGAGAAAAGCAGGUGGUCAACAUUUCGGGUCAGGACCCUUCUUCAGGAAGAUAGGAAAAGGGGAAGCCCAACAUAUAGGAGGUAGAAGAUACAGGAACCUGAGGGCACAUACCACUAAGGACAGCUUCUACCCCACUGUGAUAAGACUAUUGAACGGUUCCCUUAUACAAUGAGAUGGACUAUGACCUCAUGAUCUACCUUGUUGUGACCUUGCACCUUAUUGCACUGCACUUUCUGUGUAGCUGUGACACUUUACUCUGUACUGUUAUUG